UUGAACGCUGGCGGCAUGCCUUACACGUGCAAGUCGAACGGUAGAGGGGCAACCCUUGAGAGUGGCGAACGGGUGAGUAAUGCAUCGGAACGUGCCCAGUCGUGGGGGAUAACGCAGCGAAAGCUGUGCUAAUACCGCAUGUGAUCUGUGGAUGAAAGCAGGGGACCGCAAGGCCUUGUGCGAUUGGAGCGGCCGAUGUCAGAUUAGCUAGUUGGUAGGGUAAAAGCCUACCAAGGCGACGAUCUGUAGCUG
rnacentral:rRNA from 1 species